rnacentral:rRNA from 1 species
UACGUAGGGUGCAAGCGUUGUCCGGAAUUAUUGGGCGUAAAGAGCUCGUAGGCGGUUUGUCGCGUCUGCCGUGAAAGUCCGGGGCUCAACUCCGGAUCUGCGGUGGGUACGGGCAGACUAGAGUGAUGUAGGGGAGACUGGAAUUCCUGGUGUAGCGGUGGAAUGCGCAGAUAUCAGGAGGAACACCAAUAGCGAAGGCAGCUCGCUGGGACGGUACUGACGCUAAGGCGCGAAAGCGUGGGGAGCCGA